rnacentral:rRNA from 1 species
CAAUAGCGUAUAUUAAAGCUGUUGCGGUUAAAAAGCUCGUAGUUGGAUUUCUGUCAAGGACAACUGGUCCGCCCUCCGGGUGAGCACAUAGUUUGGUCUUGGCAUCUUGCUGGAAACUGUUGCUGCACUUGGUUGUGUGGCGCAGCAUCCAGCACUUUCACUUUGAGGAAAUUGGAGUGUUUCAAGCAGGCACAUGCCUUUGGACACAGUAGCAUGGAAUAAUUAGAUUGGGCUUUUGCUCCAAUUUGUCGGUUUCUGGAGCUGAGGUGAGAAUUAAUGGGGAUUGUUGGGGGCAUCCGAAUUUAGCCGUCAGAGGUGAAAUUCUUGGAUCUGCUAAAGACGGACAACUGCGAAAGCGUCUGCCCAGGAUGUUUNCAUUGA